rnacentral:lncRNA from 1 species
CGAAGAUGCUAAGCACAAGUGAAAAACAUGAAAAUUAUUUGAGUUAAUUACUGUUUAGUAAGCGAACAAUGGAUUGUUUUCCGGUUAGAUAUAUAGCAUAUCCACCAUAGCAUGGACUGCUGAAAGAAACAAAGAAAUAAUAAGCAGCAUGGGCUACUUACCUGCUCAAGAGCAUGCAGCCCUUCAGCAGACAGGAUUCAUUGAUCUGAUGGA